ACGAACGCUUGCGGCAUGCCUAACACCUGCAAGUCGAACGCGACCUUCGGGUCUAGUGGCGCACGGGUGCGUAACGCGUGGGAACCUGCCCUUAGGUUCGGAAUAACUCCCCGAAAGGGGUGCUAAUACCGGAUAAUGUCUUCGGACCAAAGAUUUAUCGCCUUUGGAUGGGCCCGCGUUGGAUUAGCUAGUUGGUAGGGUAAAAGCCUACCAAGGCGACGAUCCAUAGCUGGUCUGAGAGGAUGAUCAGCCACACUGGGACUGAGACACGGCCCAGACUCCUACGGGAGGCAGCAGUGGGGAAUAUUGGACAAUGGGCGAAAGCCUGAUCCAGCAAUGCCGCGUGAGUGAUGAAGGCCUUAGGGUUGUAAAGCUCUUUUACCCGGGAUGAUAAUGACAGUACCGGGAGAAUAAGCUCCGGCUAACUCCGUG
rnacentral:rRNA from 1 species